GCAAAGGGGAAAAACUCUGUAGCCCUUGUCAGGCAAGCAAACAUCUGGCUCUCAUCAGUCUUAUCGUGGCUUACUUGAUGACUUUGAACUGUUUGUCUCUCGUAAAAAAUAUGUUAACAGAGAAGAUUACAAAACUGUGCCAGAGUUCCACCAGUUCAACUCUUUGGGGUCGGGGAUCUCGUUGUCGCUAUAUUUUCUUUUGUUGAUUAGCCAAACAUGGUUGUUGGAGGCGCAUAACGAACAGAACGGUGAGCGUGGGGAAGUGGCUGGAGAAAUUGGAUGUGGAAAAAAAUGGCGGAAGCAGAUGAUGAAGUGGAUUCUGAAUCUAAUAGUGGUAGAAUCAAGGAGAAUUGGAAUAUUGUCCAAAAGAAAGGAAAAAGGAGCAAAGUAGAGUACAGAGAAAAGAAUGUCACUUCGUAUCUUGUAGGAGUACGGUUUGUAAAUGAGGAGCAGCUGAACGAAUUACCAAUAUUGAGGAAUCCAUUUGAGAUAUCCAAACUGGUGGAAAGAGUGCUGGGAAGAGUGAAGGCUGUGAUGAUCACUAGAGGCGGGUUUGUUUAGAUUUUUUGUGCUUCUGAGGAAUAGAAGAAACGUCUGUUGCGUCUCACCCGAUUUGAUAAAUUUGAAGUGUCGUGUGUGUCUCUUAGGAACAGGGCACAUCUCAAGGGGCUUAUAUCUGGCGUAUCGUGGGAAGUAUAUGUUGAUGAGACAAAACAUAUUCCUGGAGUAAUUGAUGCACGUCUGAUGAAUCGUAGGUGAAUGAAGAAAAGACCUGAGCCCUAGGACCAUGCCUCAGGACUACCUGGUAUGAUGACUCCUUGCUGUCCCCAGUCCACCUGGCCGUGCUGCUGCUCCAGUUUCAACUGUUCUGC
rnacentral:lncRNA from 1 species